UGGAUCCGGGCCAUUCCGUAGUCCUGCCUGUGUCCAUUACUACGCUUACUUCAAGGCUUAUCUCAUAAUGUCUCCCUUGUACGUUUAUAAACUCUUUGAAGUAUGAAAUAUCCUUCUUCUGUCAAAGCUUUCGCUGGUGUUCAUGGCUUCCCAGAUGCUGGCGCCAAAAAGUCCCAAGGACAGCAAAACAACGACAAUGCGAACAGGCGUCUUUAUCAGCAAUCGAGCGAACUGCUUCAUCACCUUGUCAGCUUCAUCUUGCAAACGAGGCUCGUCCCGGAUCAUCGCGGGAUUCGGGUUAUUAGCCGUCGGGACUACGUUUAUCAGUUUAUUGGGGUGUAACCGUUUCUAAUUCUUGGGAUUAAGGAUAUGUUUAUUAUUCUUGACGAACUGGAUCGACAAGACAACAAAGUGUUUGUUAUUGACACCAUCGAAAUUGUGAGACCGUGACAGAACUCGUUGAGUUUGCCGUUAGCACGUCCACAGCUUUCCCGUCGCGACAUUUGGCGUCAGGAGGAUUAAGGCGAACCGCCGCAACUGCCUCCCGUUGUGCUUUGCGUCACCCCCAAAGAAGAGAAGCCGGACUCGAUAGUCUUUUUGUUGUAAUUUAAGUGAGAGGUUUUACAAUCACUGUGUUAUGGUGAGUUGAUAAUAAUUUUUUGGCUAGAUUGCUAUAAGUGUAAGGUUAUAUAAGAACUUUAAAGAACUUCUUCGUUCGCUUUAGAACUGGCCCAAACGUUUCCUCAUCUUCUUCGAGAAGUAUUAAACAUGCCAUUCCCAUGACAGAGUGCUGUCCAGUCGGAGACCAAGAAGCUGGGCUGAUGGUUCAGUCUCCAGAGUUUGUUGCCAAUGGAGACUGUUAGGGUGUCACCAGAAAAAGUUAUCUCACUACAGACAAUCAUUGAUAUUACAUGCGAAUUCUUUUGCAACUCGCAACAUAACAGAAAAUGUGUUCCAGGUCCGCACUUCCGCCAGCCCCCACUAGCUACGCAACGUGGCGAGAGGGGGUGGGGGGACUUAAGACUUAAGAGAGGGUAGAGGGUGGGGUUAGGGGACAAAAUGUGAAGACAUGUUGGAGAGCUGUACAGAGUAAUAUAGCAAUAAAAUGGUGGGAAAGUAGCAAAGAACGAAAUAAAUGGCAUAUGAGAAUAAAACAAAUGGGGAAGGAC